CUUUAAUGGAGCACUCGGGACCCCUAAAUCAUUCUACUUCCUAAAGUGUUUUAUAUGUGAAGAGUGUGUCCUCUUUUUUUCAUUUUGUAAAAAGUAUAGUGACACGUUCAGUGGCGUACACACAAUCCAUGUGGGGCAGCGUCAGGGGACUGCAGGCACUAUAACCACUUCAAUGAGAUAGAAUGGUUUAACACUGAAUGGAGGGACAGCGUCAGGGGACUGCAGGCACUAUAACCACUUCAAUGAGAUAGAAUGGUUUAACAUUGAAUGGAGGGACAGCGUCAGGGGAUUCCAGGCACUAUAACCACUUCAAUGAGAUAGAAUGGUUUAAUGCUGAAUGGAGGGACAGCGUCAGGGGACUCCAGGCACUAUAACCACUUCAAUGAGAUAGAAUGGUUUAACACUGAAUGGAGGGACAGCGUCAGGGGAUUCCAGGCACUAUAACCACUUCAAUGAGAUAGAAUGGUUUAACACUGAAUGGAGGGACAGCGUCAGGGGAUUCCAGGCACUAUAACCACUUCAACGAGAUAGAAUGGUUUAACAUUGAAUGGAGGGACAGCGUCAGGGGA